UACGUAGGGUGCAAGCGUUAAUCGGAAUUACUGGGCGUAAAGCGUGCGCAGGCGGUUAUGUAAGACAGUUGUGAAAUCCCGGGGCUCAACCCCGGAACUGCAUCCGAUACUGCUUGACUUGAGGACUGGAGAGGUGACUGGAAUUCUCGGUGUAGCAGUGAAAUGCGUGGAGAUCGAGAGGAACACUCGUGGCGUAAGCGAGUCACUGGACAGUAUCUGACGCUGAGGCACGAAGGCCAGGGUAGCGAAAGGG
rnacentral:rRNA from 1 species